rnacentral:misc_RNA from 1 species
ACAAACUUGGUCAUUUAGAGGAAGUAAAAGUCGUAACAAGGUCUCCGUUGGUGAACCAGCGGAGGGAUCAUUACAAGAAGCCGAAAGGCUGCUUAAAACCAUCGCGAACCUAUCCAUCAGCGUUGCCUCGGCGGGAGGAGGCCGCGGGCCCGGCGUCCGCCGGGCCCCGGGGCCUGGGGAACCGCACCCUCCCGGGGGUGCGGGGCCCGCCCGCCGGAGGUAUGAAACUCUUCUGCAUCUGUAGUGGAAUCUCUGAGUAAGCAAGCAAAUAAGUCAAAACUUUCAACAACGGAUCUCUUGGUUCUGGCAUCGAUGAAGAACGCAGC